rnacentral:rRNA from 1 species
GACGAACGCUGGAGGCGUGCCUAAUAUAUGCAAGUAGAACGCUGAGGACUGGUGCUUGCACUGGUCUAAGGAGUUGCGAACGGGUGAGUAACGCGUAGGUAACCUACCUCAUAGCGGGGGAUAACUAUUGGAAACGAUAGCUAGUACCGCAUGACAAUAGGGUACACAUGUACCCUAUUUAAAAGGGGCAAAUGCUUCACUAUGAGGUGGACCCGCGUUGUAUUAGCUAGUUGGUAAGGUAACGGCUUACCAAGGCGACGAUACAUAGCCGACCUGAGAGGGUGAUCGGCCACACUGGGACUGAGACACGGCCCAG